rnacentral:tRNA from 1 species
UCCCAGGUGGCACAGUGGUAAAGAAUCUGCCUGCCAAUGCAGGUGAUGCAAGAGACCCUGGUUUGAUCCCUGUCCUGAGAU